rnacentral:rRNA from 1 species
CCCUUAGAUGUUCUGGGCCGCACGCGCGCUACACUGACAGGGUCAGCGAGUGCUCCUGCGUCGAAAGGCGUGGGUAAUCUUUGAAACCUUGUCGUGCUGGGGAUAGAUCCUUGCAAUUAUUGAUCUUGAACGAGGAAUUCCUAGUAAGCGCAAGUCAUCAGCUUGCGUUGAUUACGUCCCUGCCCUUUGUACACACCGCCCGUCGCUUCUACCGAUUGAAUGGUUUAGUGAGGCCUCGGGACUGGCGCACGGGGCGCUGGCAACAGCACCCUCGCGCCGGGAACUUGGUCAAACUUGAUCAUUUAGAGGAAGUAAAAGUCGUAACA